rnacentral:rRNA from 1 species
ACGUAGGCAACCUGCCCACAAGACAGGGAUAACUACCGGAAACGGUAGCUAAUACCCGAUACAUCCUUUUCCUGCAUGGGAGAAGGAGGAAAGGCGGAGCAAUCUGUCACUUGUGGAUGGGCCUGCGGCGCAUUAGCUAGUUGGUGGGGUAAAGGCCUACCAAGGCGACGAUGCGUAGCCGACCUGAGAGGGUGAUCGGCCACACUGGGACUGAGACACGGCCCAGACUCCUACGGGAGGCAGCAGUAGGGAAUCUUCCGCAAUGGGCGAAAGCCUGACGGAGCAACGCCGCGUGAGUGAUGAAGGUUUUCGGAUCGUAAAGCUCUGUUGCCAGGGAAGAACGUCUUGUAGAGUAACUGCUACUAAAGUGACGGUACCUGAGAAGAAAGCCCCGGCUAACUACGUGCCAGCAGCCGCGGUAAUACGUAGGGGGCAAGCGUUGUCCGGAAUUAUUGGGCGUAAAGCGCGCGCAGGCGGCUCUUUAAGUCUGGUGUUUAAUCCCGAGGCUCAACUUCGGGUCGCACUGGAAACUGGGGAGCUUGAGUGCAGAAGAGGAGAGUGGAAUUCCACGUGUAGCGGUGAAAUGCGUAGAGAUGUGGAGGAACACCAGUGGCGAAGGCGACUCUCUGGGCUGUAACUGACGCUGAGGCGCGAAAAG